rnacentral:misc_RNA from 1 species
UCCUCCUAUACCAAAGAUCUCAAUGUCAGGUCAGAAAUCACAAACACUGAAUUCCAUGCUGGCUUCUAUAUUCCUUGUUUGUUUAAUAGUCAUCUGCUCAAAAAAAAAAAAAAAACCAAGACUGAACGUUUCUUGAACAUUUCUUGCACAGCUUUAUUUCUGUGAUUUCCUAUCUGGGUCUUGUUUAUCUUGCAGCCAUUUUCUUGUAUAGAUCACUUAUUUGCAGGGGAGUUAUAUAUAUAGAAGAUUCAAGUCAUGUGGUGGGUGAAGAAGAGGCAAUUUGGUUACUAAAAUUGGUUCUACCAUACUUGAAUGAGUGCUUGUUGAAAAUUAAAGCCCUUU